GACGAACGCUGGCGGCGUGCUUAACACAUGCAAGUCGAGCGGUAAGGCCCUUCGGGUACACGAGCGGCGAACGGGUGAGUAACACGUGGGUGACCUGCCUCUAGCUCUGGGAUAAGCCUGGGAAACUGGGUCUAAUACCGGAUAUGACUCCACGGCGCAUGUUGUGGGGUGGAAAGCCUUGUGUGGCUAGAGAUGGGCCCGCGGCCUAUCAGCUUGUUGGUGGGGUGANGGCCUACCAAGGCGACGACGGGUAGCCGGCCUGAGAGGGCGACCGGCCACACUGGGACUGAGACACGGCCCAGACUCCUACGGGAGGCAGCAGUGGGGAAUCUUGCGCAAUGGGCGAAAAGCCUGACGCAGCGACGCCGCGUGAGGGAUGACGGCCU
rnacentral:rRNA from 1 species